AAGACUCUUAACAAUCUUACCGAUUCAGUUGAGAGGACUGUAGGAUUUCUCAAAUGCUUACAGUGAACCAUCAAAUACUCGAUAAACUUUGGAACAUCCUGCAGACGGAAGGAAAAUAAACCUGCUCUGAUGAAGGAAAAUAAUUUCGGUAAUUACUCCAUCUUACAAACAGGAUCUCCUCCUCCCCGCCAAAAUAUCUAAAUACUUAAACACCUACACAGACCACUUCUUCCUAUGCCGUUAUCUAACUUCAAACUUAAUGGUAUAUGUUUCAUCUUCAAAAUAAAAAUUCUUUUGCUACCGCCUAAGUGCCUAAUAUGAGUAUAAAUUUGACAAACUACAAAAGAGAAAAAAAAUCAAUUGAAACACGAAAAUCCAAUCCAAACAUGAUGGUAAUCAGAAAUUUUAAUUACAAAAAUUAACAAAAAUAAGAAUUUACGAUCGUAAUUAUAUUAAGCUCUAUACCAAUCGUAGAAGAAUUGACAAAUAUAUAAGAAUGAACACACUAAAGCAGAGAAAUACCUACUGUCGACCAAUUGGGAAAUUCAAGAAAAUUUGGUUUUCUCCACUGCUCGUUCAAUAUCCCUAUAUGAACAAAGAGAUUAAAGCAUUAAACCA
rnacentral:lncRNA from 1 species